rfam:Triticum aestivum genome assembly, contig: Triticum_aestivum_CS42_TGACv1_scaffold_050305_1BS
UAUAUACUUCCUCCGUCCGAAAAUACUUGCAAAAUAGAUAAAAAGGAUGUAUUUAGAACUAAAAUACAUCUAGAUACAUCACUUUUAUUCAUUUUGAUGACAAGUAUUUCCGGACGGAGGGAGUACUUU